CCUCUAAUCCCAUAGUUAUGGAGAACGCCAGUUGAACUGCCUUUCUAGGCUGCCAGACUCCUCCCAAGCCACAUCAUCUGGAGUAGUGACCUGAGAAGGCUACAGGUGCAGGUUAGGCAGAGGAAUACUUUGCCCCAGAAUUCAAGAAUUCACUAGCAACUGCUGCAGGUAUUCUGGAGUGUUCUAGAAGAGCUGCACAUACAGGAUAACCACAAAGGGGACAGAGUUUUCCAGAGAAACUGAACCAACAGGAAGUGUGUGUAUGUACAAACAAAGAGAGAGAGAGCACUUUGUUUGAAAGAAUUGGCUCACAUAAUUGUGGGAUCUGGAAAGUCUGUAAUCUGCAAGGCAACCAGCAGGCUGGGGACCCACAGAAGAGUUGACAUUGAAUCUUCCAGUGUGAAGGUCUUUUGGAGGACGAAUUCCUUCUCAAGAGACCUUAGCCUUUUCUCUCACACCUUCAGCCGCCUGGAUGAGGCCCAUCCACAUUAUUGUCCAUUAUGUGCCAGAUGCUGUGUUUGGUCCAAGAAUAGGAAGUCAACGUCACAGGCCCUUCUUUCAUAAAGCUCACGUCUAGGGAGAGUAUGAGUAACUGAAGAAAAAGAGAAUGACUGAAAGCUAUGUACAAAAGGGGGGAUCUGAAGAACCACAGCAACAACCUAUAGCAUAGAUCAUGGGACAUAGCUCGCAAUAAUUCCCCCAUAUUUGCCACAAAAGGGCUUCAUUUCCUAAAGAAGCAAACGGUUGUAGAUGAGCCUCCAGGUGCUACAAGAGAGCAGUAGCUGGAAAGAACAUGAGAGUUUUUGCCUACGCAUAGGCAAAGAUGGUUCCGGCUACCCAUCUCGGACCUUCUCAGACCAAGUAGAGCUGUAGCCUCUGGGCUUGUCUUACCUUGUAAUGCAUUUGGAAAGCACCAUAUUCUCAGGAAUAGAAAAGGGUAAGAGACAAAGAAGAUUCUCUCCAGAGCUGGAGAGAUGAAGGAAGGAAGCAGCCAUCCUAUAGCAUACAUACGUUGUUGCUGAUUUGUUGACUUAUCUUAUCUUCUUGGUGAGAAACAACAGCUUGUCCUACAAUUGCUCUCCCUUACCUCUGGAUCUUCUGGAUUCCUCUGACUUCUGAACUAGUCUGCUGGUGAUCUUCUCUUCCAGACCGUCUGCCCUGAGAACUUUGGGCUCUGACAUGAAAUGUGGAGACAGCCUUGCGGAGACUUCUUAGCCAGCUGCCAUAAUGAGGAUGCAUAUAUGAUAUGUGGGAACUGGCACUAGUCUGUGUCCUGUGUGAACAUCAGAUCUCUGGAAUCCUCUGCAUGUGCACUGAAGACCCCCACUAUGCCCUGAAGACCAGUUAUCUUGAUAGCCCUGGACUCGACAUAGUCUCUUCAACUUCGGGGGACUGGCAGUCUCCAUUGGUUUCUUCCUCACUGUGCAAUGGCCUGGAAGCUUUCUUCAAAUAGUAAAGUGGGGCAAUAGAAUUAAGCAGUGGUGGAUGGGGACCAUGAAAUCCAAACUAGUUGAAAUGUUUACACAUUGCUCGAACUCCAAAAUGCUGGUCAGUAGUUCUUUUCCUGCUAUGUCUUCACACCUUCAAAUUAGUCCAUUUUUUCCCUCCACGUUUCAUUGUCAAACAAGACUUUGUAG